CAACGACUCUCGGCAACGGAUAUCUCGGCUCUCGCAUCGAUGAAGAACGUAGCGAAAUGCGAUACUUGGUGUGAAUUGCAGAAUCCCGCGAAUCAUCGAGUCUUUGAACGCAAGUUGCGCCCGAAGCCAUCUGGUCGAGGGCACGUCUGCCUGGGUGUCACGCAUCGUUGCCCCCAACCC
rnacentral:rRNA from 2 species